ACCAAGUAGUUUGCGACCGGUGUGCCAGUUUAGCUGGUGAUCAUGUUAACUGGUGAUAUUUGCAUGAAAUCAGUGAAUAUUCAACAAGGCCCUGCCCUGCGUUCUGCUCUGCCUCCGCCCCUCGAGUGCCAGAGGCUCACAUUUUCACGAAGUGUUUGCAAGUGAGACAAAAUAAUGGAUAUUGCUGACAACAUCACCAGUUU